AUUGAACGCUGGCGGCAUGCUUUACACAUGCAAGUCGAGCGGCAGCGCGGGGGGCAACCCUGGCGGCGAGCGGCGAACGGGUGAGUAAUGCAUCGGAACGUAUCCUGUAGUGGGGAAUAACUCACCGAAAGGUGAGCUAAUACCGCAUAAGCUCUGAGGAGGAAAGCGGGGGGACCGAAAGGCCUCGCGCUGCAGGAGCGGCCGAUGUCCGAUUAGCUAGUUGGUGAGGUAAAGGCUCACCAAGGCGACGAUCGGUAGCUGGUCUGAGAGGAUGAUCAGCCACACUGGGACUGAGACACGGCCCAGACUCCUACGGGAGGCAGCAGUGGGGAAUUUUGGACAAUGGGGGAAACCCUGAUCCAGCCAUGCCGCGUGAGUGAAGAAGGCC
rnacentral:rRNA from 1 species